rnacentral:piRNA from 1 species
CUCUUACUCUAGCUGCUAA